UGCAUCCUUCAUUUGGGGACUUUGGCCCCUGUUGUGGGCCGGAACCCAUGCUAGGUUUCCUGUCCCCAGCUGAGAAGGACCCCACGGGAGCUCACAGUGCAAGGGGAGGGGGGCAGGCAUGUGAACGAGGCAGAAAAAGUCCACGAGCUGACAGAACGGCAUCACGCCCACAGGUGCCGAGCCACGCCAAGCAGGUGGGACGUGGUUUCUGAAGCGUGGCCCAGAGACACAGGACCUGGAAGGGCAGUAGGUCUGGGGAAGAGACAGGGGAGUGGCUCGCAAAAGCAGGAUGAGGCACGGGCCUCUGCGGCUGCUGAACAUGAUGGUGACCGGGAACUGGCAGGACCCAGAGGGGAGACAGUGAAGCCAGAGGAAGAGGAAGGGCCCAGAAAGAAGGGAACGCGGAGGGACGUGCUGAAUAUGCCCUGGGCACCUUAGCCAGACACCCUGCUGAGGAGCGUUCCUUUAAUCCUGCAAACAUCUCUCCGAGCUGGGUAUUAGAGUCCCCCCUCCCCAAACAGGAAGGUGAGGCCCAGAGGGCAUCAGUGACUCGCCCAGUUCUGGGGCUGCAAGUCUCCAACCAUCCCCUGGCCCUGCCUGCCUAUCCCCCGGCCAAGCAGGAGGAGAGCCCCGUGCCUUUGCAGAGCGAGCGCAGCCUUGCAGAGACUCCCCUGCAGGGUGACGCGAUGCAGACCUCCGCUGCCUCACAUGACUUGUACAUAUUUUCAUGGAUUUGCUUAUUUUAACUCGGCCCAGAACUUCAAGGGAGCAUCAUUCCUGGAGGAUUUGUUCAUCGAUGUGUCACGGUCUAGCGACUGAGGCCACGAGCGAGAAGGAAAGGGGCAGGUUCAGAGGCCCAAACAUCCGUCCUCUCCGUGUCUUGUCAAGAGGAAGUGAGAGGUGUCCGAUUCGGUCACGCAGAACGCAGCUGGGCUGCCUGAAACCCAACGCAGCGGCUACUCUGAAGGAGGUGUCGUCCCCGUCCCGGUAAGGGGCUGAGUCACAGCAGACGCCACUCCCACGUCAAAAAUACCGGGCCAUUGUCCCGGGGAGCUCGGCCCCUCACGCAGGUCAUUUCCGACCCACUCCCUGGAAUCACAUUAAAGGAAAGAGAAGGAAAGGAAAAGCAGCAGAAACCAGGAUUGGCGAAGCAGGCCGAGGAAGAGGAGAGCUGGACAGUCAGAUCCGCCCCCGAAGGUGGGACCCCACCACGCCCUGGGUCCUCUUAGCCUGGGUCACACCGGGGCCCCGGGGCCCCGGAGCCAAUCUCGGUUGUGUGGCGUCCAAAGACUUAAAGUUUGGGGGCAUUGCUUACUAAAAAGAAUACAAAAUUCUGAAAACAAAGUA